GCCGGGGUGGUGGAAUGGCAGACACAGGAGACUUAAAAUCUCCCGGGGCUAUGCCCCAUGCCGGUUCGAAUCCGGCUCCCGGCA
rnacentral:tRNA from 1 species